rnacentral:rRNA from 1 species
AUGGAGGCGGAUGACUGGGAGGAGUUACAGUUGAAAGCAGCCGGGACUAUACGGUUGUGUCUGUCGGACCAGGUUAUUUAUCAUGUGAUGGAUGAGAAUUCGCCGAAGAAGAUCUGGAAGAAGCUGAAAAGUUAGUUUAUGUCCAAGACUGCGACGACCAAGGUGUAUCUGAAGCAAAAGUUAUAUGGAAUGAGGAUGCGGGAGGGGUCAGAUCUUGUGGAGUAUAUGAACGCCUUUAAUCAAGUCGUGACGGAUCUAGCACGCUUGGGUGCAACGGUUGACAACGAGGAUAGGGCAAUUCUGUUUCUUUGUUCAUUGUCAUCAUCCUAUGACCAUUUGAUUACUACUUGA